UAAUAUUUAUUUUUAUAUUUACAAUAUAAAUUUAAAACCUAUUUUGGUUUUUCCUACUCCAAAGUUUGAUUCUGUCUUUCAAGUUUUUUAUUUAAAUUAAUUAUAUAUAUAUUUUAAAUAUUGAUAUAUUUGUAGUAAUUAGUUUUGGUAGUUAUAUUAAUUUAUAUUCAGAAAUUUAAGUUAAACUAGAUUAAUUUUGUGCCAGCAUUCGCGGUUAUACAAAUUUAGUUAAGAAUAUUUUAUUAUUAUAUAAUUAAUUAUUUUUAUUGGUUUAUAUUAUAGGUUUAUUUAGGUGAAAUUUGUAAACUAAAUUCUUAUUCUUUUAUAUUUUAUUAUAAAUAUUAAUUAUAAACUAGGAUUAGAUACCCUUUUAUUUUUUGUUUAAUUUAUUAUAAAUAUUAAUAGUUAUGUUCUAUAAAACUUAAAGAAUUUGGCGGUGACUAAUCUUUUCAGGGGAAUCUGUUUUUUAAUUGAUAAACCACGUUAGUUUUUACUUUAAUUAAAUUUGUAUAUCGCUAUAAUGAAUAUUUUUAAAGGGGUUUUCUAUUUUAAUUAUUUAAUUUAUAUUAGGUCAAGGUGCAGUUUUAUUUUAGGUUAAAUGGGUUACUUUAAUUUUAAUUAAUUUUGAAUUUUUAAGUUUAACUUAUAUUGAAAUAGGAUUUGAAAGUAAUUUUAAGUAAUUAUUUAAUUUGAAUUAAGCUAUAAGUCAUGUACAUAUUGCCCGUCACUCCAGUUUUAUUGGAUAAGUCGUAACAAAGUAAUCUUAUUGGAAAUUGAGAUUAGUUUUU
rnacentral:ncRNA from 1 species